rnacentral:rRNA from 1 species
CCUACGGGUGACAGCAGUGAGGAAUAUUGGUCAAUGGACGAGAGCCUGAACCAGCCAAGUAGCGUGAAGGAUGACUGCCCUAUGGGUUGUAAACUUCUUUUAUAUGGGAAUAAAAUGAGGCACGUGUGCCAUUUUGUAUGUACCAUAUGAAUAAGGAUCGGCUAACUCCGUGCCAGCAGCCGCGGUAAUACGGAGGAUCCGAGCGUUAUCCGGAUUUAUUGGGUUUAAAGGGAGCGUAGGUGGGUUGUUAAGUCAGUUGUGAAAGUUUGCGGCUCAACCGUAAAAUUGCAGUUGAAACUGGCAGUCUUGAGUACAGUAGAGGUAGGCGGAAUUCGUGGUGUAGCGGUGAAAUGCUUAGAUAUCACGAAGAACUCCGAUUGCGAAGGCAGCUUACUAGACUGCCACUGACACUGAGGCUCGAAAGUGUGGGUAUCAAACAGGAUUAGAUACCCUAGUAGUC